CUGUGAGGGAGGUCCCUGAGGAAGGGAGGAAGAUAUGGUGGAAGGUAAAGGGGACAGGCGUGCGCAAGUUCUCUGAAAACAACAGGAAAUUGUCAUCAUCAUCAUGGCCCACAGUUGCAGCAUUGGCAGCAGCGAGUAAGACUGACUCCAUGAUAUUGAGGUCGGGGCUCUGCGGGGGCCAGACCACUAUGUCUGGGAUCGUUUUCAUGCUGCAGAAUGAAUUGGGGAAUGAAUGAAUGAAUGAAUUCGGGACCGAUCAGACGCCUCCCUGAUGGUCUUCAUAAGGGAGAGAAAGGGGCAGCCUGGCGUUUUAUGCAGUAAAGCAAAGGGGAGUUAAUCCUGAUUGGAUUAUGGGGACCACAGACAAGCCCGGAGUGUGUGUUGCAGACGAUCCGUCAAGAUUUCCAGCUCUUGGGUCAGCUUGUACUCCUCACGAAACUGCUCGCCCAGCAAGACUAGGUCCCGCGUGGCGUCGUGUAGCGGGAUGUCGCUCAGACUGCGCUGUGGGUUUACCUGGGUGAACAAAGAAAAAGGAUGUUCUCCGCCUCUGGCAAGUAAAUCAUCUGUCCUUUCAAUCUCAGACAGCUGAUCUCCACCCCCGUCAGCUCGUCCUCGUUCUCUACAGUCUCCACAUUCAGCAGGCCCUCCUGUCAGGAUUACAGCACACUUAUGAAUAUUUCAUCAUAUGUUCUCCUCUAAAUCUGCCUCAAAACUGGGCACCAGUUCAGCUCACUCUUUAUAAUAAAUUUGUAUGUGUUAUGUGCA